GAUGCAGAAUCAAGGGUCCUGCACCAUGGCCUGGACUCCUCUUCUCCUCAGCCUCCUCGCUCACUGCACAGGUUCUGUGGCCUCCUAUGUGCUGAAUCAGCCCCCAUCAGUGUCCGUGAACCUGGGACAGACGGCCAGGAUCACGUGUGGAGGAAACAACAUUGGAGAGAAAUAUGCUUACUGGUACCAGCAGAAACCAGGCCAGGCCCCUGUGCUGAUUAUCUAUGAGGAUAGCAAACGGCCUUCAGGGAUCCCUGACCGAUUCUCAGGUACCAGCUCAGGGAACUCUGCCACCCUGACCAUCAGCAGGACCUUGACCGAGGACGAGGCUGACUAUUACUGUCAGGUGUGGGACAGCAAUAGUAAUGCUCACUGUUUCCUGCACAUGCACUUCUCCAUCACAGAGUCUUCUUCCAGGAACCUAGUCCAAGAUGACCAGGAACUCCCACAGUCUGCAGGGACAUGA